CGUCGGCACGGACGUCGCUGCCUCUAGUGCCAUAACCUUUCUCUCCCUCGUCUCGCCUGGAUACCACGACGUAGGACUGCUCAUACCAUCCACCACUGAGCACGACGACCACCGCUAUCGAGAAGACGGAAGAACAAGAAGGGGUACGGCCUCUGUUGCCAUUUUCCCGAGUCGCCGCGGCAGCAGCAUCUACAGCGUCGUGCACCGCAGGGCCCAUUCUUCCACCCCCCCCCGUCCACACUCCCUCGCACGGGGUGGGGUGUGUUUUCUGUCGCGUCUCCUGUUGUUGACGGCUCACUGUGGGAGACACCCCCCCGUAGACACACAACGUACAGCGCUGAGCCGCGCGCCACCUCCUCCUCCCCCGUUCCUUUCCAUCAUACUGUUUGCUCGUUUGUUUUUUGGAGGGGAGUGCAUCUAUCCUUUGGUGAGGUUGUGUUGUCGGAAGCCUCGCCGCCGCCGCCACGGUGACAAGAGUGGCCGAGCAAGAACCUUGGGCGCGCCACUGCAUUCCUCCACACAGACGCGAAGCACGCGUCGGGCGCCUAGAGAGAAGCCCUCCUUUACAAGCCAGCGCACAACACAAGUUACACGGGCACCGUGCUUCAUGAGCGCCGUCGACGCCCUUGCUGCCGCUCCGUCGCAGCCCCGCGAGCAUCUGAACAUUAUCUAUUCCGAUGAAGGCAAGCGGUACAAGCUCAGCUUGCGCACCCCCAUAGGCCGCCUCACAAUUGGCAAGGUGAAGCAGUGCCUCGCCGCCGCCAGCUCGUGCCCCAUCCCGCUGCAAGACAUGGUGCUGCACCUCAACGGAGUGCCGCUGAGCAACGACAAGGACCUGUGCUCCAGCCUCGGCAUCGGCAAUGGAGCCACCCUCUCCGUGGAGCCCCGGCAUCCACCGCGCCAGUGUAACGGCGGCGAAGGUGAUGGCGACGGAGGUGCGUGGCAGCGCCACAGCCCGCGAAUGCGAGGGGCGAGGGGCACGCAGUCGCCCGUCGGCGCUGCAGUCGCCGGCUCUCCCGCGUCGUCUUCGUUGUCGUCACCGUUUCCGAUGUCGCGCCAGCGCCGCCUGCUGGAGCUGCAGACGCUCCAGCAGGCGGAUGAGAUGCUGCGCAAAGACGACGUUGUGCGGGAUGACGUGUUGCGGCACACGAUGCGCCACGUUGAAGAAGAAAUGGACCAGGCGAACCUGCGCCGUCGCCAGCUCCAGCGGCAACGCGAGAGCGCGGAAGAAGAGCUGCAGCGCAUGAACGAAAAGGAGGCCGAGGCGGCACGCGAGCGGGAGCGGCUGGCCGUGCUGCGGGCGCAGGAGGCGGCACGUGCGACCGAGCGCGCGGCGAAGCUGGUGGAGCGUCGUGAGCAACUCCGUGCCGAGCAGGAGGCCGCCCGCGCCGUCGCGAUACUGAAGCUCGAGAAUGAGAAGAAGAAGGCACUGCUGGCGCAGCAACAGGCAUUCUUCGACGCCGAGCGAGAGCGGGCGCAGCUGGAGCAAGAGAACUUCGAGGCCACCACCAAGGCUCGGGAGCUUGAGCUGCGGGCACGUGAAAUCGACAUAGAGCAUCUGCGGCUCGCUCGCAUCCGUGAAGCGCGAGCACUGGACAUGGACCGCCGCCUGGCCGUGAAGCAGCGACUGCACUACUACGCCCAGCUUGGCGUCGAGGCACCGCGGGCGCUGCAGCGCGAGGCGGCGGCGCUGUUGCUGACCGAAGAGGGAGAAAUCGAUGACAAUGCAGAAGAGGAGCCGGCGGGCGACGGCAGUAGCCACUGGCCUAGCGCGCAGCGUCACGGCCUCAACUCCAAGAUGAGCGUCACGGGGUUCAAAAGUCACACCCGCAAGUCGGUCGCAAGUGCUCAGGACACGAGCAACAACGACCUCGUGCGUAGCCGCGGGCCAUCGUCGUCCCCGCUGUCGCACGCCGGCCACAGCGUUGCUGCGGUGGCAACGGUGCCAGAUGGCGGCUUCUACGAUGCGCGCGAGAACGCUGAGGAGAACCUGCGGCGCCUCGGCGACGAUCUCGGCCUCCGCGAUGGGCUGCAGUUUGACGACAGUAACACCUGCGUCAUCAGCGUCGACGGCGAGUACACGCUUCUCGUGAUGUACGACGCCGCGACGGAGCGACUCUACCUGUACUCAACCUUGCUGGCGUCGCUGCCGCCGGUAGUGCAGGCCACGACCGAGGGUCGGCUGAAGCUGUACGAGUUCCUGCUGGAGGCGUCGCUGCUGGGGCGCGAGAUGUGCGGCGGCGGCGUCGGUGCCUCGUUGCGGAACGACUUUGUCCUCAUGUCGGCCAGCCUGUACAUGCCGACGAGCCAACCGUGGUCGCUGCGCACCCUGGCGCCGCAGUUCUUGCACUGUCUCCGGCACUGGCGCACGAAGCUUACGGAGUUCUUGCAGACCCUGGAGGCUCAGGAGGGCCACGGUCAGAGCGGUGGUACUGGUGCUGUGCCUGCAACCCCGCCAGCGGCGGCACGGCAACCGCCACAGCACCAUGUGUACACUUCCGCCGCAUCCUCCUUAUCGCCCUCCAUGGCCCGCAGCGCCCCGCAUGCCGGCUCAGCGGCCACCAGCAUCGCCAGCCCUCACCCGAAAAGUUCCGCGACCUCCCCAUCUCCGUUGCAGGCCCCCAACACGGCGGUGGUAGCGGCGACACCACUGGCGGCGCCGUACACCUCGUCGUUCGGCGGCAGUGCCAAGCGUGUUAUUCCGGUCCUGGGACUCGAGGUGACCGGCACCGUGCUGGUCAAUGGGGUGCCGACACACUACCAGGACGGCGUCCUCGUAGUGAACGCGGCGGGUCCGUCGGUGCUCGCUGGGGUGCAGCCGAACGACCUCAUCGAGGAGCUGAACGGGACGCGCGUCCGCAACGUCGGCGACUUCCGCCGUGUCAUCGAGGAGCAGCUGACGCCAGGCAUGCUUGUGCCGGUGCGCAUCAACCGUGGUGGGGUGGCGAUGGUGGUGACGGUGCGCGUAGAGGCAGGACGAGCGCUGUAGCACAGCAGUGCAACGCGCUGCUCGGGUUUCCGAAACGCGUGCGUGGCAUGCGCGCGACAGAGAGACAGAGAGGAAAGCAGAGAAAAGUGGUGAUGAGGUGGCGUGAGUCGGUACAUGAUGAGGAUGGGCACCACCACAGCAGCAGCCAUGUUCGCUAUGAUGCGUCACGGCAUUGCCGUUCGUUGCCAGCCGCCACAGAUGCGUACCGCAGCCAUCACCACAGCAUGUGCAAGUCUCGCCCAUGACGCAUCCCACCACCACCGCCGCCUCCGAGCCGCGUCGCUGCCGUGGCUCUUUGGGCACACACACACACACACACACACACACACGUCGACUUCAAGACAUAGAACAGCAUCGGUGCAGAAAGGGGCGCUGCCCGCUGCCGCGGCACCUGCAUAAAUGCGAAACACGCACACGCACGCGACGCUCACGUCGGGAGAAGGCGAGAGGGGAGGAUGCCGGCACAAGCCGGGUGCCGCACGUUCAAGGCGGCCGCCGAUGGCAGCAGCUUGAUUGCCAUCGGUUCCGCCCAUGUCGCGCUGCAGAGGCGCGCUCUUCUCUCUGGGAGGUCGUGCUGUCAGGGGAGGUGGAGGAGAGGUGGAGGGUCUCUACGGCGGUGAGCGUGCAUUUCCGAG
rnacentral:misc_RNA from 1 species